rnacentral:rRNA from 1 species
GGAAUUCCUGGUGUAGCGGUGAAAUGCGCAGAUAUCAGGAGGAACACCGGUGGGCGAAGGCGGGACUCUGGGCUGUAACUGACACUGAGGAGCGAAAGCAUGGGGAGCGAACAGGAUUUAGAUACCCUGGUAGUCCAUGCCGUAAACGUUGGGCACUAGGUGUGGGGGACAUUCCACGUUCUCCGCGCCGUAGCUAACGCAUUAAGUGCCCCNCCUGGGGAGUACGGUCGCAAGGCUAAAACUCAAAGGAAUUGACGGGGGCCCGCACAAGCGGCGGAGCAUGCGGAUUAAUUCGAUGCAACGCGAAGAACCUUACCAAGGCUUGACAUACACUGGACCGUUCUGGAAACAGUUNUUCUCUUUGGAGCUGGUGUACAGGUGGUGCAUGGUUGUCGUCAGCUCGUGUCGUGAGAUGUUGGGUUAAGUCCCGCAACGAGCGCAACCCUCGUUCUAUGUUGCCAGCACGUGAUGGUGGGAACUCAUAGGAGACUGCCGGGGUCAACUCGGAGGAAGGUGGGGAUGACGUCAAAUCAUCAUGCCCUUUAUGUCUUGGGCUUCACGCAUGCUACAAUGGCUGGUACAGAGAGAGGCGAACCCGUGAGGGUAAGCGAAUCCCUUAAAGCCAGUCUCAGUUCGGAUCGUAGUCUGCAAUUCGACUACGUGAAGUCGGAGUCGCUAGUAAUCGCAGAUCAGCAACGCUGCGGUGAAUACGUUCCCGGGCCUUGUACACACCGCCCGUCAAGUCACGAAAGUCGGUAACACCCGAAGCCGGUGUCCCAACCCCUUGUGGAGGGGGCCGUCUAAGGUGGGACCUGGUGAUUUGGAC